AACGUAGGAGGCAAGCGUUAUCCGGAUUUACUGGGCGUAAAGCGCGUGCAGGCGGUUCGGUAAGUUGGAUGUGAAAGCUCCCGGCUCAACUGGGAGAGGUCGUUCAAUACUGCUGGACUUGAGGAUGGUAGAGGGAGGUGGAAUUCCGGGUGUAGUGGUGAAAUGCGUAGAUAUCCGGAGGAACACCAGUGGCGAAAGCGGCCUCCUGGACCAUUUCUGACGCUCAGACGCGAAAGCUAGGGGAGCAAAC
rnacentral:rRNA from 1 species